rnacentral:rRNA from 1 species
GUAGGGAAUAUUGCACAAUGGGCGAAAGCCUGAUGCAGCAACGCCGCGUGUGCGAAGAAGGCCUUCGGGUCGUAAAGCACUUUUCUGGGAGAAGAGUAAGGACGGUAUCCCAAGAAUAAGGAUCGGCUAACUACGUGCCAGCAGCCGCGGUAAAACGUAGGAUCCGAGCGUUAUCCGAAUUCACUGGGCGUAAAGCGCGUGCAGGCGGUUCGUCAAGUUGGAUGUGAAAUCUUCUGGCUCAACUGGGAGAGGCCGUUCAAAACUGGCGGACUAGAGGGCAGUAGAGGGAGGUGGAAUUCCCGGUGUAGUGGUGAAAUGCGUAGAUAUCGGGAGGAACACCAGUGGCGAAAGCGGCCUCCUGGGCUGUACCUGACGCUAAGAUGCGAAAGCUAGGGGAGCAAACGGGAUUAGAAACCCCAGUAGUCC